rnacentral:rRNA from 1 species
UACGGGGGGGGUAAGCGUUGUUCGGAAUUACUGGGCGUAAAGGGCUCGUAGGCGGCCAACUAAGUCAUACGUGAAAUCCCUCAGCUUAACUGGGGAACUGCGUGUGAUACUGGAUGGCUUGGAUUUGGGAGAGGGAUGCGGAAUUCCAGGUGUAGCGGUGAAAUGCGUAGAUAUCUGGAGGAACACCGGUGGCGAAGGCGGCAUCCUGGACCGGUAUUGACGCUGAUGCGCGAAAGCCAGGGGAGCAAACGGG